AGCCCCCUACCCUGUAGGGCCUACCCGGGAGACGCGGGUAAGCCUGCCGGCGGCCCACCAAACUCUGUUUGAUAUUGAAUUCUGAACCUAUAACUAAAUAAGUUAAAACUUUCAACAACGGAUCUCUUGGUUCUGGCAUCGAUGAAGAACGCAGCGAAAUGCGAUAAGUAAUGUGAAUUGCAGAAUUCAGUGAAUCAUCGAAUCUUUGAACGCAUAUUGCGCCCAUUAGUAUUCUAGUGGGCAGGACCGUUCGAGCGUCAUUUCGACCCUUAAGCCUUGGUUGCUUAGUGUUGGGAGCCUACGGUAACGUAGCUCCUCAAAGUUAGUGGCGGAGUUGGUUCACACUCUAGACGUAGUAAUUUUUUAUCUCGCCUAUCAGUUGGACCGAUCCCCUGCCGUAAAACCCCCAACUUCUCAAGGUUGACCUCGAAUCGGUUCAGACAAACUCGCUAAAUUGAAGCAUCUUAGUCAGCGAAGGAAAAGAAACCAACAGGGAUUGCCCUAGUAACGGCGAGUGAAGCGGCAACAGCUCAAAUUUGAAAUCUGGCCCUCGGGUCCGAGUUGUAAUUUGUAGAGGAUGCUUUUGGCGCGGUGCCUUCCGAGUUCCCUGGAACGGGACGCCUUAGAGGGUGAGAGCCCCGUACGGUUGGACACCAAGCCUCUGUAAAGCUCCUUCGACGAGUCGAGUAGCUUGGGAAUGCUGCUCUAAAUGGGAGGUAAAUUUCUUCUAAAGCUAAAUAUUGGCCAGAGACCGAUAGCGCACAAGUAGAGUGAUCGAAAGAUGAAAAGCACUUUGAAAAGAGGGUUAAACAGCACGUGAAAUUGUUGAAAGGGAAGCGUUUGC
rnacentral:rRNA from 1 species